rnacentral:lncRNA from 1 species
CCUGUGGGGACGCUUCUUUCAGCCCCCGUCCCCGGCGGGAUGCACACAAGAUGCCCGUUUUCCUUCGCAAAGAAGUAGUUUACUGGUAUUUUGUGACUUUUUUAAGAAGAAAAACUUAAAAAAAAAAAAAAAAGCCUGCUCCCAGCAAAACUGCCCAAUAUUCUGUGCUUUCACUUGUUCUGGUGAUGAUUCAUGUGAGGAUGAUGAUGAUUCAUAUGAUGGAAAUAAGCUGUAAGAAUCCCAAAGAAGUACAGAGUUUCCUAUAAUCUGAUUUAAAAAGAAAGUAUGUAUGAAUGGAAACACUGAGUUUCCAACAAUAUAUAGCUGAUGUUAAAACAGAUAAAAUGAAGAAAGCUAUUUUCAUUAAGACCAGGUUUUCAGAUACAAAAUAAUAGCAGAUAUUAUUUGGAUAAACAUAUUGAGCAGUAAACAAAAAAUACAGAGAUUAGAGAGAUUGAUAUCUCACUUAUAAUAUAGCCACAUAAUCCUUUAUCCAAACUCUUUGGGUCAAAUGUAUUCCAGAGGUCAAAAAUUGUUGGGAUUUUUUUUUUUUAAAUGGCCUUUAUUAUGUUGAGAUUUGUUCCUCUAUAUCCAUUUUGAUGAGAGGGUUUUUUGUUUGUUUGUUUGUUUUUGUCUUUUUGCCUUUUCUAGGGCCCCUCCCACAGUAUAUGGAGGUUCCCAGGCUAGGGGUCUAAUUGGAGCUGUAGCUGCCGGCCUAUGCCAGAGCCACAACAAUGCAGGAUCCGAGGCACGUCUGAGUCCUACACCACAGCUCACAGCAACGCCAGAUCCUUAACCCACUGAGCAAGGCUGGGGAUAGAACCCGCAACCUCAUGGUUCCUAGUCGGAUUCGUUAACCACUGAGCCAUGACGGGAACUCCAAGAAUUGUUGGGAUUUUAGACGGUAAUAUAGUGCAUAUACCAUACUUUGUCUUUUUUAAAUUUUUUAAUUUCUAUUUUUUAUUUUUUUAUCAUAUAAUUGUUCUUUAUUUUAUUAAAGUAGAGUUGAUUUACACUGUUUCAUCAUGUUCUGUUGCACAGCAAAGUGACCCAGUCACACAGAGUUCCCUGUGCUGUAAACCAGGGCCCCAUUGCCCAUCUACUCCAGAUAUAUAACAGUUUGCGUCCAGAAAACCCCCAAAAUGCACAUCCACUCAACUCCUCCCCCUUCCCCCUAGGAACCCCAGGUCUGCUCUCCUUGGCCAUGAUCUGUUUCUGUUUUUUUAGGUAGGAUCAUUUGUUCUGUAUUUUAGAUUCCAUAGGUAAGUUAUAUCAUAUGGUAUUUGUCUUUUUCUUUCUGGCUGACUUCACUUAGUAUGAGAAUCUGUGGUUCCAUCCAUAUUGCUGCAAGUGGCAUUAGUUUGUUCUUUUUUAUGGCUGAGUAAUAUUCCAUUGUAUAUAUGUACUACAUCUUCUUAAUCCAUUCAUCUGUUGAUGGACAUUUAGGUUGUUUUCAUGUCUUGCCUAUUGUGAAUAGUAUUGCAAUGAACAUAGGGGUGCAUUUAACAUUCACUGAAAAAGAUAAUUUUUCUUCUUUAAUUUGUUUAAGUUACCGAUGGACUGUACUGACUGAUUUUUGAAUGCUGAAUCAGCCUUGCAUAAUUGAAAUAAAUCUCACUUGUCACUGCUGGAUCUUCUUUUCAUAUAAUGUUAGAUUUGAUUUGUUAAAAAAAUUAGGAUAUUUUUAGCUGUAGUUAUGGGAGAUACUGGUUUGUAGUUUUCAUUUCUUGCGUUUUUAUAUCUUCUUUUGGUAUUAGGAAGAUGUUGGCAUUAUCAGAACAAGUAAGGAAAUAGUCUCUCUUGUGCUAUUUUCUCAAAGAGAACAUGGAAUCCUUCCUGAAAUGGUUAGUGGAAUUUGCCAGUGAGACCCUCUGGACCUGUUUGGUUUUGGAAAUUUAUUGAUCAUUGAUUCAGAUCAUAGCUGUAGGAUUGUACAGAUCAUCUUUCUCCUAGUCUGGGUAUUAGUAGCUUGUAUCUUUCAAGGAGUUGGUCCCUUUCAUCUGUUAUAAAAUGUGUGCGCUUGGAGUUGUUCCUGGGAUUUCUGCAUUAGCUUUGUAUUGUCCGUGGGAUCAGUGGCAGUGAUCCCUUUUUCAAAUAUGAUAUUGGUUCUGUCUUUUUUUUAAAACGAUUGUUAUUUUUUCCAUUAUAGUUGGUUUACAUGUAUAUACUAUACUCUCUGUAACACUUCAAUAAGAUCUAGAGCAACGUCUUAGAAUCAAAUGUAUUAAUAUUCAUGGCAUAAAAAUGUAUUAGCAUUAGUAUGAACACUAAUUUGUAUAAAUAAAGGCUAUAUAACCUAUAUAAUAACUGCAUACCUAUCCAGGUAGAUUUUGCUGUGAAAUGAGGUUUGCCUUAAAUUGUGAAAAACUUUACCUUUCUAGAGCUGUUGUUUUUUGUUUUUUUUUUUUUUUUUUUUUUUUUUGGAACUUUAGAUAAUGGUUUAAAGACCUGUGCAAGCAAAAUAUGUUAAGAUUUCAACAUCUGGCUAGCCCUGGGGGUCAAUUAAAAGAGUUCUUUGAAGUCCUGGCUGUGUUAGAUGGUCUUGUGGUUUGGGGUGUUUAGUCUGAAGGCAGAAGAGUGCACUUUUAGAAGAACAAAAUACAAACUUUGGAGUAAUUAUUGAAAAAGUAAUGAGUAAAAUAUCUUAAUUUGCAUUCUUGACCUUUGUCAUCAGUCAUUACCUUUCAAUAUGUAGUGCUUUGGUUGAAAAGAAUAGCAAUUAACACUAACACUCCCUAGAAAUCUUAAUGUUAAAAAUUGCCUUAUUUUUUUAAGCCUCUCUGGGAAGGGAUCCUUGGUGUUUUCAUCUUUUAUUUUUAGCACAUAAAAGCACCUCCUUCUAAAUAUCCUGUGACUGUAAAGAUACUUUUUCAGUUGAGUCUUUUAAAGUACAAAAUUAAGGAAUCUAUUUAUCUCUCAUAUACAGUGUGCACUAACUAACUGUGCUAAGUGCUGAGGAUAUAGUCUGAUGGGAGAGACGCACACAUAAAUAGAAUAUCACAAUAUUAUGUGAUGAGUGAUGUGAGAGGUUAAGUACAGUGUGCCAUGGAACACCAUGUUCUGGGGUGAGAGAAGGAACAGAGAUAAAGUAAGAAGUUAGGCAAGUGAAAUGAGGAGGGAAAUAAAAAAUAUUCUAACAGUGAUUUUCCAAAUGUGAUUCAUGGACCAGCAGCAUCAGCAUCACCUGGGAAUUUGUCAGAAAUAGAGAUUCUCAGUCCUUACCCCAAACCUACUGAAUUUAAAACUCUGAGAAGAGGAGCUGAGCAAUCUAUUUCAAUAAGGUUGAUCAUCUGGAUGAUUCUGAUGCAAACUUAAGUUUGAGAACCAUGGUUCUAAACAGCAAACAUGAAAAAAGAAUCAGAGCAUAUAGGCAGUCUACUAUAAAUAGCAAGAUGUUAGUGUAACUGAAUGGCAUUAGGCCAUAGGAGAGUUUUAAGCAGAAAAAGUAAAAAUCUAACUUUUAUUUUAUUUUAUUUUAUCUUAUCUUUUUAGGGCCACAUCUGCGGCAUAUGGAGGUUCUCAGGCUAGGUAUUGAAUUGGAGCUGUAGCUGCUGGACAAUGCCACAGUCACAGCAAUGCCAGAUUGGAGCCACAUCUGCGACCUACACCACAGCUCACAGCAGCGCCGGAUCCCUAACCCACUGAGCAAGGCCAGGGACUGAACCUGUGUCCUCAUGGAUUCCAGUCAGAUUUGUUUACACUGAGCCAUGACAGGAACUCCCUAACUUAAAUUUUAAAAGAGUUUCUUCACAAGGUGAAAAAUUGACUGAGUAAAGGGAGCAUGAGAUGAUGGAGGUUUGAACUAGGGUGGCAGAGGUGGAGGUAAUGAGAACAGUGUGUCUGGUAGUGUGAAUAAGCUUUGUAGGUAAAACUGAUUGGACUGAUUGAAUGUUCCAAUACAUUGGAUUUGGGAUGUGAGAGAAAGAAAGGAAUCAAGGUUUGGGCCUGAGCAAGAAUGGUAUUACUACUUCUAUGAAAUGAAGAAGGAAGAGCAGUACGGGGCAGAAGAUUAGCAGUUUAGUUUUGGACUUGUUGAGCUGCCUGUAGACAUCCAAAUGGAAAUGUCAGAUAGCCUGUUGGGUAUGUAUACAUGUCUAUAGUUUGCAUAGGAGUGGCCUAGAUAUCCAAAUUUGGAAGACAGUAGCAUGUAAAUGAUAUUUAAAUUCAUGAAAUGGAUAAGAACUCCAAUGAGAUCUGUAUGUAGGUAAGGAAGAGAAGGGGUCUAUGCAAUGAGACCUGGACACUCUGAUUUUAAGAGUUUAGGAAGAUAAUAGACUUCCUAUAUCUUAACUCAAUAGAAAAUGGAGAGAAAGAAUGGCCACUGAGGUAGGAGGAGAACCACAGAUGGGGUGUCUUGGAGAUCUAGUGAAAAAACUUUUAGGAAGAAGAAACCAUUCAAUAAGUCAGUUGCUACUCAUAGGUGGAAUGAGAUAAAAGCUGAGAUGUAUCCUUGAGAUUUGACUGCAUGGAGGUCAUUGGUAAUCCUGAUUAAGUGCAGCUUUGAUGACAUAAUGGGAAAAAGACCAGGUUGAAGUGUGCUCAAGAGAGAAAGGAGAGUUUAGUGGAAAUUAAGUACAGACAAUUCUUUGGAAGAGCUUUGAUCAGGGGGAGGAGGUGCAAAGAGAAGAGGCAGUAGCUCUGUUCUAAGAACAAUGCGGAGCCUAUGAAGAACUCUUGGUGCCUACUAUUUCAAGGACAGUUUAAAAUACUUGAUAUUGCUGUUUUGAUAAUGUGUCUUCAUUAGCUAUUACAUGUCAGAAAGAGUGAUUAUGUUAGCUAAUAUCUUAAUCUUAUGUGCUAUGAAACAAUGUCAUUGAAAGUGAAUAACUCAACUAUUUAAGGAAUAUAUGAUAUUAGAUUUUGAUUCU